UACGAAGGGGGCUAGCGUUGUUCGGAAUUACUGGGCGUAAAGGGCGCGUAGGCGGUGUGUCAAGUCAGGCGUGAAAGCCCCGGGCUCAACCUGGGAACCGCGCUUGAGACUGGCACGCUAGAGUUCGGGAGAGGAUGGUGGAAUUCCCAGUGUAGAGGUGAAAUUCGUAGAUAUUGGGAAGAACACCGAUGGCGAAGGCAGCCAUCUGGACCGACACUGACGCUGAGGCGCGAAAGCUAGGGGAGCGAACGGG
rnacentral:rRNA from 1 species